ACUUCUUGCAGGCUCUUGCCUUACGAGGAGAGGUAGCCUAAUUGUCAAAUAAUCAAUUUACUUGCUUUUGUCAAAACAGCAUCAUUAAGCAAAUUCAAAAGAAAUGGUUGAUGAUUAAACCAGCUGUGUAAUACAGCCUAUGAUUG